UGAACAAUGAAAAAAUUGCAUGGUCCUUGGA
rnacentral:piRNA from 1 species